GCCUGGAUGGCUCAGUGGGUUAAAGCCUCUGCCUUCCACUCAGGUCAUGAUCCCAGGGUCGUGGGAUCGAGCCCCACAUCAGGCU
rnacentral:tRNA from 1 species